CAAAAACAUGGCCUUUUGAUUAUAAUUUAAGGUCUGGCCUGCCCAAUGAUUUAUUAAAUGGCCGCGGUAUUCUGACCGUGCAAAGGUAGCAUAAUCACUAGUUUUUUAAUUGGAAGCUUGAAUGAAAGGUUGGAUGAGGAAACUACUGUCUCAAUUAAAGUUUUUUAGAAUUUUAUUAUUUUGUAAAAAGGCUAAAAUUAUUAUAAAAGACGAGAAGACCCUAUAGAGUUUUAUAAUUUAAAUAGAAAGAGUAAUUAGAAUAAAUUUCUUUAUUUGUUUAAAUUAUUUGGUUGGGGUGAUUGAAAAAUUUAAUUAACUUUUUUUGAAAGAUUACAUAGAUUUAUGGGUAUUUGAUCCUUAUUAAAGAUUAAAAGAAAAAAUUACCUUAGGGAUAACAGCGUUAUUUUUCUUGAGAGU
rnacentral:rRNA from 1 species